rnacentral:tRNA from 1 species
GCGCCCGUAGCUCAGUGGAUAGAGCACUCGCCUUCUAAGCGAUCGGUCGCUGGUUCGAUCCCAGCCGGGCGCG